CGGCCCGCGCAGCAACCCGGGUGGUGGCUGCGGGAGCUCCCGGCGCGAGUGUUUCCCAAUGGCGGGUUCUGAAAAGCCAUUUUUGAGUGCAGGCGACUGCUCUGUGCCCUGGGCCGGGUGACGGGAAGGCGGUCCUGAGGAGUGCCUGAUCCCCAGGGCCCGCGCAGGGGGAAGGGGGCGCAGACGUUUCUCGUAAGCAGUCAUCAACAGAUUUCCCCUCUCUUGAUGUGAUCUUAAUUUUCAGGAGGUCAGAGAUGUGAUGAACACAGACUGGAAUUUUACGUCCAUGCUAUGACAUAUUAAUAACAAAAUGUUACCUAUCAGUGAAUGGAUAAACGUGAAGCACUUAUUGCCAUACAUACGUCCAAAAUGCUAUCCAGGUGGAUGCAUGAUUUUUUCUGCCCAAGUCGCGGAGGACGUGGUAAUGACACGGGGUUUGCACGGUUUGUCCCGGCAUUCAGCACACAAAAUCCAGGGUGGAUCAAAUGGCUCCGGUUUGUCCGGGCUCAGGUUAAUUGGGGUUCACUAAUGUCUUUGUGCAGUAUGGAGUCUCUGUGUGACAUGAUGAGAUUUCUCACCUUUGGUUUCAGCAUCACCAAAUAUAGUCAUGCUGAGGAGCUUCAGCAUCCAGAUGGGAUGAUGAAUUCUCUGAAUCAACACCAGGAUGUUACUGUCUCAACUCGUAAAGCUCUUGAUCUGUGUUUGGACUAGGACUGGGAUUAUGUAAUGCCAUUUCUGCAGUGGGAGAUACUUCUGAACAGAGAGAUUCACAUGUGGUCCUGAUCCAUGGGUGAGUACAUAAGGAGUUUAGUCUGCAGGUCAUAGGUGUUCACAAUGUUAAACAGUGAUGCUGGGAAGAGUUUUCAGAUCUGAUUUGCAUGUAUUUGAGCACUGGAGACUUUCAGAUGGAACACACAGAAAAGAUGUUAUUAAAUCCCAGUAUUUAUGUCAUUCUGCUUCUUUAUGGGAUUCCUCCCAGGGCAACUAAAUGGUUCCUGUUCUUCCCAAAUUAUUCUUGUUUGUGUAACCUUCAGUAAAGUGUUUUUGGAAGGUUAAAUGUUAUUGUCAUGGAGUUAACAUUGCUCUCCUUCUUAGGAACAGGCAAUUCUAAGAAUUGAUAUAAUGUAUUUAACUACAGUGUUUUUAUAAAUCUUUGCCUGUAUUGAAAGCUGUGCAUAGAUCAUUAAAGUAAUGAUAACUAAGAGGAAGGCUUCAGUACAAAAUGUUACAUUAAAUGUAUCAGAUAUUUCAUUAAUCUCAUUAAUUACCACCUUUAUUAGUGAUUUUAUUCAUUUUUUUUUUCCUGGAGAGACGGUGUCUUGCCUUCCCUGGGUGAAAUACUGGAGGAAUACUGGUUGGCCAGGUUGCUUUAUUGUUCCCAUUCCACUGUCAUUAGAGCUGGUCAGGAAAUGAAUGUCCUGCUCUGUCAAAUGCUUCAAGAAUUGAGACUUCUUACCCUGAAGAAGAAAGUUGUAGAAUUUUUCUUAUUAAAAAAGAAACCCUACCUCACAAUAUGAAUGAAAGCACUCACGUGGUAUGUGAGAUCUCUUUUCAAGUUCCCAUUUUGCGUUUUUUCACUUCAUUGUGUUAUUUUAAAUGUAGAGUGAUCUCUCCUGCCUUUUCCUUAACACAAGAAAUUUUUCAAAGUGGAAGUUUUAUUGAUCAUUAAUUUUCCCACAGCCGCUCCUCAUGUUUCAGCAGAUAACUCUGGACCAGAACCAGCUGUUGUUCCCUGGCUUCAGUUCAAAAUUUCUCCUGAAAAUAAAUACAUAAAAACUCCAUCCUUCCCAUACUAGGGACUCCAUACACAUAACAGGGAAGAAACAUCUGGCUGUAUAAUAGGAAAUAUGCAGAAAGCUAAAGUUUU